CCGAGAGUAAGGAGGAAGAGGAAGUCCUGCCUGCACGAGAAUCCUUCCCCUAUGAGGAGUCUAACUCCUCAACUAAUUUCUCCUCUUGAUCAAAGUUAAAGAUAAGCAUGCGAUAAGGAAGGAAAAACCAAUAAGAAGACUAAAUAUGAUUCCUAGAAGAAGAAGAACCCGCAAGAAAGGAGUUCGAUAAGGAAUUGCCAUCCCUCCCGCAUAGGAUGUCUUACUCGAGAGGGAUUUGGUCUCCCCUCUUCUAUUUUGGAUUUUUUAAUUUUUUAGCCCGUUUAGGAUCGAUUUUCGAUCAAGGGAGAAGUCUAUGCAAAUUUAUAUUUCUACUUCAGGAAGAAUAUAAAUUCAACAAAGAAAGAAAGAGAUAAGAUCAAAGGGAGAAUUCAACCAAGAAGUUUUGUACUCCUAGCUGAAUUCUUGCAUUCCACCUCUACUUCAACAAUAGGCUUUUAUGGCAUCUAAAAUUAUUGAUUAAUUCAAGGACAAGCCAACUCCAAUAAGGGUAAUUCAAUCUGAAUGGGAGACUUCAAUUGACUCAAG
rnacentral:lncRNA from 1 species